rnacentral:rRNA from 1 species
AACGAACGCUGGCGGCAGGCCUAACACAUGCAAGUCGAGCGAGGACUUCGGUUCUGGCGGCGGACGGGUGAGUAACGCGUGGGAAUGUGCCCUUCUCUACGGAAUAGCCCUGGGAAACUGGGAGUAAUACCGUAUACGCCCUAUUGGGGAAAGAUUUAUCGGAGAAGGAUCAGCCCGCGUUGGAUUAGGUAGUUGGUGGGGUAAUGGCCUACCAAGCCGACGAUCCAUAGCUGGUUUGAGAGGAUGAUCAGCCACACUGGGACUGAGACACGGCCCAGACUCCUACGGGAGGCAGCAGUGGGGAAUCUUAGACAAUGGGGGCAACCCUGAUCUAGCCAUGCCGCGUGAGUGAUGAAGGCCUUAGGGUUGUAAAGCUCUUUAAGCUGGGAAGAUAAUGACGGUACCAGCAGAAGAAGCCCCGGCUAACUCCGUG